rnacentral:piRNA from 1 species
UAGAUCCGUGGUGUGCAAGAGCAGA